GCCCAUAAGAGGAUGUGCUCACCAGGAAGCGAGGAAGCCACAUGCACAGCACACGGAGCUGCUGCUUCCCUAGCUGGGAGGCCUGGUGCAGGGUCUUGCCAUAGCCAAGGGCUCUGGGCGGAGGAAGGUGGAGAGAUACCACGCUCAGCUCCCUGUGCAGUUCGCAAUUCACGAGACACCCUAAACACAACGGUCUCCGGUCUAAAUGGAAUUAACUCAGUCUCACUCACAAACAUCAGGGAGGGAGCCACUUCACAAACAAAUCCAGACUAUCUGAGAACUGGCUGCUGAAUGUCCGAAGAAAGCUGCAUGUGAUGGGCUUCUCUGGAAAUUAUCUGAGGUUUCCUUAUCCUUGAGGUCGACUGAAUGCAAGGAGGCUGCACAACCAGCAGAUGUGAGGAAUGAAGCCGCCGAGGAAACUGAUUUCAGUCCUGAUGCAGUUUCUAAGACGGUGUGGGGAGGCGGGGAGGGGAAUGCUGAAUAAUAAGAUUACUCAGAGCUACUAACGAUCUUGAUUCAGUAAUUUUCUGCUUAAAAAGGCACUUCGACCUUUUCCAAGCCCAGAUGUAUGCGUCUUAAUGGAAGGUCAUUCCCAU
rnacentral:lncRNA from 1 species